UACGGGGGGUAAGCGUUGUUCGGAAUUACUGGGCGUAAAGGGCUCGUAGGCGGCCAACUAAGUCAUACGUGAAAUCCCUCAGCUUAACUGGGGAACUGCGUGUGAUACUGGAUGGCUUGGAUUUGGGAGAGGGAUGCGGAAUUCCAGGUGUAGCGGUGAAAUGCGUAGAUAUCUGGAGGAACACCGGUGGCGAAGGCGACUUCUUGGCCUGUUCUUGACGCUGAGGCGCGAAAGCUGGGGGAGCGAACGGG
rnacentral:rRNA from 1 species